UUUUAGCCCUGAUAGUAGUGGAAAUCCUUUUGCUUUUUUGGGGUUCAAAAAAGCAAAAGAUUGCAACGGAUAGCAGGUUUAAGC
rnacentral:sRNA from 1 species